rnacentral:rRNA from 1 species
UACGUAGGCAGCGAGCGUUGUUCGGAGUUACUGGGCGUAAAGGGCGCGUAGGCGGUCACGCACGUCCGUUGUGAAAUCGCUCGGCUCAACUGGGCGGGGUCAGCGGAUACGGCGUGGCUGGAGCAAGCUAGGGGGCAAUGGAAUUCCCGGUGUAGUGGUGGAAUGCGUAGAUAUCGGGAGGAACACCAGUGGCGAAGGCGGUUGCCUGGAGCUUUGCUGACGCUGAUGCGCGAAAGCGUGGGGAGCGAUCCGG